rnacentral:rRNA from 1 species
AGUUUGAUCAUGGCUCAGAUUGAACGCUGGCGGCAUGCCUUACACAUGCAAGUCGAACGGCAGCACGGGAGCUUGCUCCUGGUGGCGAGUGGCGAACGGGUGAGUAAUGCAUCGGAACGUGCCCUGAAGUGGGGGAUAACGUAGCGAAAGUUACGCUAAUACCGCAUAUUCUGUGAGCAGGAAAGCAGGGGAUCUUCGGACCUUGCGCUUUUGGAGCGGCCGAUGUCGGAUUAGCUAGUUGGUGGGGUAAAGGCCCACCAAGGCGACGAUCCGUAGCGGGUCUGAGAGGAUGAUCCGCCACACUGGAACUGAGACACGGUCCAGACUCCUACGGGAGGCAGCAGUGGGGAAUUUUGGACAAUGGGCGCAAGCCUGAUCCAGCCAUGCCGCGUGAGUGAAGAAGGCCUUCGGGUUGUAAAGCUCUUUCGCAAGGAAAGAAAACUUAUCUCCUAAUACGAGGUCGAGGUUGACGGUACCUUGAUAAGAAGCACCGGCUAACUACGUG